GGAGAUAUCAUGUGUAGUGGUUUGUGAUCUCUGUUAGAUAAUAUGCUUGUGCUUAUUCUUUAGGCAUGAAUAAUAAUGUGUGAACUGUGAUGAGAAAUAUUUGUUUCUAUGUGUGGUUUGUAGUAAUUAUUUGGGCUAUCAAUUACAUAAUUGAUUUGUAUGUGAUAUUAAAUUAGAUUAUAUUUUAAUUAAAUGCUACUCGGACUUUAUCCCAAAAUAACAAGAUGCAAAAUGGGUUCUGCUAAAUAAAAAUCCUACCUUAUUAGAAUCAAAAAAGUAUUAGCAUACAUUCACUAAGGCCAAUAACUACUAGGCUUAAACAAAAU
rnacentral:lncRNA from 1 species